UUCAGAUCUCUUUCCAUUUCUGCAACUUUUUUGGUUGGAUUUUAUUAGGAGUAGUGUUAUGAGCUUAAGCUUGUUUUUGAAAGUUAUAGAACACACCUGUAGGAUCCCAGCUGGUGGUUCCGUUUUAUGGUUGUUCUUUAGGUUUUAGUCGUUGGUUUCUGAUUAAGUUGUAAUUUGGAACUUAGGAGUUUAAACCAGACUUUGUCAUGACUUCGAAGUCAAUUGAGUUUGAAUAGUUUUGACUAAAGCUGCUUAUGCUUGAUUGGAUGAGUUAUGAGUAAUAGAUUAAAUGAGCUUAAUGAAGGAAUAUGGAUUUGAUUGCAAAAGCAAUUCUAGACAUGACUUCAAGAGGUUUAGCAAUUUAGCCAUGAGAUAUACGAACGAUAUGUUUUCCUUUUCCCUUCAAUCAAGGGUAGCUAUGAAUUAUCUGUAAGGGUAUAUUAAGUUGUCUUUUAGUUGCCAUAAGCUCAUUUUAGCUGCUGUUUGCUUUUCUUUUUUUCAUAUGCUUGAAAAAUUGUUGUGCUUAUGUUUUUGAAUUGCCUUGCAGAGUUCGG
rnacentral:misc_RNA from 1 species